GCUCUGUCGAAGAUGUUGCGACUGGCCCAAUAUGCCUCUUCAACAUACUGACGUGAAAGACUGGAUGCAAUCGAGAAUUUUCAGUGCAAGGGAUGUUUGACGAUAAGGUUGCAACUUCAGAUAUGGGCUAUUGGGCUGCUCUUGCUGCUUCAGAUCCGUU